ACUUUAAUGUGGAAGUACUUGCU
rnacentral:miRNA from 15 species